GCCUAUGUGGUGUAACGGUAGCACACUUGGCGCGUAUUCAAGAGGUUCAGGUUCGAGUCCCGGCGCGGGCA
rnacentral:tRNA from 1 species